GACGCUGAUGCGUUGUUGGGUAGGGGAGCGUUCUGUAAGCCUGUGAAGGUGGCCUGUGAGGGUUGCUGGAGGUAUCAGAAGUGCGAAUGCUGACAUAAGUAACGAUAAAGCGGGUGAAAAGCCCGCUCGCCGGAAGACCAAGGGUUCCUGUCCAACGUUAAUCGGGGCAGGGUGAGUCGACCCCUAAGGCGAGGCCGAAAGGCGUAGUCGAUGGGAAACGGGUUAAUAUUCCCGUACUUGGUGUUACUGCGAAGGGGGGACGGAGAAGGCUAUGUUGGCCGGGCGACGGUUGUCCCGGUUUAAGCGUGUAGGUGUGUGUUCCAGGUAAAUCCGGUUCACUUUAACACUGAGGCGUGAUGACGAGGCACUACGGUGCUGAAGCAACAAAUGCCCUGCUUCCAGGAAAAGCCUCUAAGCAUCAGGUAACAUCAAAUCGUACCCCAAACCGACACAGGUGGUCAGGUAGAGAAUACCAAGGCGCUUGAGAGAACUCGGGUGAAGGAACUAGGCAAAAUGGUGCCGUAACUUCGGGAGAAGGCACGCUGACACGUAGGUGAAGUGAUUUACUCAUGGAGCUGAAGUCAGUCGAAGAUACCAGCUGGCUGCAACUGUUUAUUAAAAACACAGCACUGUGCAAACACGAAAGUGGACGUAUACGGUGUGACGCCUGCCCGGUGCCGGAAGGUUAAUUGAUGGGGUCAGCGCAAGCGAAGCUCCUGAUCGAAGCCCCGGUAAACGGCGGCCGUAACUAUAACGGUCCUAAGGUAGCGAAAUUCCUUGUCGGGUAAGUUCCGACCUGCACGAAUGGCGUAAUGAUGGCCAGGCUGUCUCCACCCGAGACUCAGUGAAAUUGAACUCGCUGUGAAGAUGCAGUGUACCCGCGGCAAGACGGAAAGACCCCGUGAACCUUUACUAUAGCUUGACACUGAACAUUGAGCCUUGAUGUGUAGGAUAGGUGGGAGGCUUUGAAGUGUGGACGCCAGUCUGCAUGGAGCCGGCCUUGAAAUACCACCCUUUAAUGUUUGAUGUUCUAACGUGGACCCGUGAUCCGGGUUGCGGACAGUGUCUGGUGGGUAGUUUGACUGGGGCGGUCUCCUCCUAAAGAGUAACGGAGGAGCACGAAGGUUGGCUAAUCCUGGUCGGACAUCAGGAGGUUAGUGCAAUGGCAUAAGCCAGCUUGACUGCGAGCGUGACGGCGCGAGCAGGUGCGAAAGCAGGUCAUAGUGAUCCGGUGGUUCUGAAUGGAAGGGCCAUCGCUCAACGGAUAAAAGGUACUCCGGGGAUAACAGGCUGAUACCGCCCAAGAGUUCAUAUCGACGGCGGUGUUUGGCACCUCGAUGUCGGCUCAUCACAUCCUGGGGCUGAAGUAGGUCCCAAGGGUAUGGCUGUUCGCCAUUUAAAGUGGUACGCGAGCUGGGUUUAGAACGUCGUGAGACAGUUCGGUCCCUAUCUGCCGUGGGCGCUGGAGAACUGAGGGGGGCUGCUCCUAGUACGAGAGGACCGGAGUGGACGCAUCACUGGUGUUCGGGUUGUCAUGCCAAUGGCACUGCCCGGUAGCUAAAUGCGGAAGAGAUAAGUGCUGAAAGCAUCUAAGCACGAAACUUGCCCCGAGAUGAGUUCUCCCUGAGACUUUAGGUCUCCUGAAGGAACGUUGAAGACGACGACGUUGAUAGGCCGGGUGUGUAAGCGCAGCGAUGCGUUGAGCUAACCGGUACUAAUGAACCGUGAGGCUUAACCUUACA
rnacentral:rRNA from 1 species